AAGAGCCCGCGUAAGAUUAGCUAGCUGGUAAGGUAAUGGCUUACCAAGGCGACAAUCUUUAGCUGGUUUGAGAGGAUGAUCAGCCACACUGGAACUGAGACACGGUCCAGACUCCUACGGGAGGCAGCAGUAAGGAAUCUUCCACAAUGGGGGCAACCCUGAUGGAGCAACGCCGCGUGCAGGAUGAAUGUUUUCGGAUUGUAAACUGCUUUUAUAUGUGACGAAUAUGACGGUAGCAUAUGAAUAAGGAUCGGCUAACUCCGUGCCAGCAGCCGCGGUCAUACGGAGGAUCCAAGCGUUAUCCGGAUUUACUGGGCGUAAAGAGUUGCGUAGGUGGUUUGCCAAGUUUCCGUUUAAAUGCCAAGGCUCAACCUUGGAAGUGACGGAAAAACUGGCAAACUCGAGAAUGAGAGAGGUCACUGGAUUUACUAGUGUAGGAGUGAAAUCCGUAGAUAUUAGUAGGAACACCAAUGGCGUAGGCAGGUGACUGGCUCAUUUCUGACACUGAGGCACGAAAGCGUGGGGAGCGAACGGGAUUAGAUACCCCGGUAGUCCACGCCGUAAACGAUGGAUGCUAGCUGUAAGGAGUAUCGACCCUUCUUGUAGCGAAGCUAACGC
rnacentral:rRNA from 1 species